rnacentral:lncRNA from 1 species
GACAGAUCACCUAGUUCAUGGGUGCCAUCGUGGCUGCUGGGGAGCUUAUGGUGAGGUUGCUGGUGGAGGUGUUUCUCUGGAGCCCUGUGUGAGGAGAUUCAAGCAUAGAUGUUACAGAGAAGACACCCAAGUUCACUACAGAAUUUUACAGACUGGACACCGUCCUUCUGAGGAGAGAACUUAGUUUGUAUACUGUGGGUUAUAAGAUAUUCCUUAUUCCCUCUGCCUCGCCUCGACCAUCUCCAUUAAAAGUCAGUGUCUUCUGUCUGUCUUCAUCAGAUGAGAUUUGAAUGAAGGCCUCAUAUUGAUCUCACUUAUUGCUGCAGGCUCCAGCUUCACGUUGAAACUUGAUCAAUAUGGAUUUGAGGCAGCCUGGAACAUUAAAUAAGACCUUGUUAGACUGAUAUUUUUUCUUCUGUGUUAUUUAAUUUGGAGGGGCAGGGAGCAGGAAGGCUGGAU